CUCUCAGCUUAUUUUGCGCAGCUUAGGUGGGAGGCUAUGAACCUUUUCUUCUGGGAAGAGGGGAGCCGUCAGUGAGAUACCACUCUUGGUAAGCUAGAGCGCUCAGUCUUAACCGUCAUCCGGUAAGACGACAGUUUCAGGCGGGCAGUUUGACUGGGGCAGUCACCUCCCAAAAGGUAAUGGAGGUGUGCAAAGGUUCCCUCAGGCUGGACGGAAAUCAGCCAUAGAGUGUAAAAGCAAAAGGGAGCUUGACUGCGAGACUGACAUGUCAAGCAGAGACGAAAGUCGGCUUUAGUGAUCCGACGGUGCUGUGUGGAAAGGCCGUCGCUCAACGGAUAAAAGUUACUCUAGGGAUAAC
rnacentral:rRNA from 1 species